UACGGGGGGAGCAAGCGUUGUUCGGAUUUACUGGGCGUAAAGGGCGCGUAGGCGGCCACCGCAAGUCGACUGUGAAAUCUCCGGGCUUAACCCGGAAAGGUCAGCCGAUACUGCGGGGCUAGAGUGCAGAAGGGGCAACUGGAAUUCUCGGUGUAGCGGUGAAAUGCGUAGAUAUCGUAAGGAAGACCAGUGGCGAAGGCGAAUCUCUGGACAGUUACUGACACUGAGGCACGAAGGCCAGGGGAGCAAACGGG
rnacentral:rRNA from 1 species